rnacentral:rRNA from 1 species
UACGUAGGGGGCAAGCGUUAUCCGGAUUUACUGGGUGUAAAGGGAGCGCAGGCGGGAAGACAAGUUGGGAGUGAAAUCCAUGGGCUCAACCCAUGAACUGCUUUCAAAACUGUUUUUCUUGAGUAGUGCAGAGGUAGGCGGAAUUCCCGGUGUAGCGGUGGAAUGCGUAGAUAUCGGGAGGAACACCGAUCGCGAAGGCAUUGUGCCGGGGCAGCACUGACGCUGAGGCUCGAAAGUGCGGGUAUCAAACAGG